rnacentral:misc_RNA from 1 species
UAGCCAUGUUCGCGCGAGGGCCGCUCUCGUUCGGCCCCAACAUGGGCGUUCCUUUUGUCGUCUGCAAUGUGUCAAACGCCGUGGGACGGGUUAGUCGUAAAUGAAGAAAAGCGGUGGGAGAUUAGAGCCAACUUUGAUACCGUUUAACUUGCCGACCGACUGUUAGACCGCUGUUAGAAACGCGCGAGCGCCAGUUGUCCAUGCUGACGAACGUACCGCAUUGUCUCCAUUCGCCGCUUUGUGAGAGUGCCGCGAUCAUAAAAAAAGGCUUUCGCACGUAUCGGACUUUGAGCUCGAUAAUUGAAUUAAAAUCCAGAAAAAAAAGACAGGCGGACGAGCGAACAUCAUUGAACAUCCUUUUUCUUCGUCGCGACUUCGAGAUUCGAGAUCCGCUACGAGAUCGAUGAGUAAUCUGGCCGACCGUGUCGCAGGGUUAUGCAGCGGAGUCGAAGGAAAAUAAAGACAUCAAGACUUUCUUACAUACUGGUGAUACAACUAAGAGAGGGAGAGACAGAGCCUCGUGGAUAAUGAACGGUGACGCAUCACCGUUGUUUCUCCACGUUCAGCAAGGUCUGAGAAAUUGAAGUACUAGGUUCUCCUGUUAGAAAUCAGCUGAUCGACAAAGAGGCUAUGAAGUUCACGAUUAGGCUUUAACGAAAACAAAUAUUUACUUAUAUAUGAAGGAUAUAUGUUAAGCUUUGAGAGCCUGUUAGCGACGUGCAAUUGUGUGUGAUAUACAAAAAUAUUUUUCUCGUGAGGAGAAACAAAAGGUCAAAAAAUGUCGUCCGCAACGAUGAGUACACCUAAAGGUAAUAAUCUUCAAAAUCGAAAUUCACAGAGAUCUACUCUACUGAAAGUGGUGAUUCUCGGGGAUGGUGGUGUUGGAAAGUCUUGCCUCAUGAAUAGAUUUGUAUCGAAUCAUUUUGAUGAGCACAGCUUCCAUACUAUCGGGGUAGAAUUCUUAAAUAAAGAUAUUGAAAUCAAUGGCGAGGCAUAUACAUUACAAAUAUGGGACACUGCUGGACAAGAAAGAUUCAAAACUCUUAGAACUCCUUUCUAUAGAGGAUCAGAUAUUUGUCUACUUACUUAUGCGGUAGAUGAUUGGACAAGUUUUAAAAAUUUAACACUAUGGAGAUCUGAAUUUCUUAAGUACGCAGAUGUUCGAGAAGCUUCUACAUUUCCUUUUAUCGUUAUAGGCAAUAAGGUGGACGUCUCUGAAUCAGAGAAGCAGGUUUCCACGGAGGACGCACAAGCAUGGUGUUUGGAGAAUGGCAAUCCUCCAUUAGUUGAAACAUCGGCGAAAGACGCUACUAAUGUUGAAGCAGCGUUUGGGGCAGCUGUCGCGGCAUGGGCGCGACUGGAAGCUAGAUUAGAGCGGCCUUUAGUGGAAGAUACCGUCGAUCUUUCUAAACAGCAAUCUCCUCAUCGUUCGAGCUGCUGCAUGCCCAUAUCGGGUGCUGAAUCCUCCUUCGUGACGAGAUAAUUGCGAUCGGGUGGUAAGAAGAUAAGCACGAUAUGCAAACUUUACAGUGCGAAUCAACGCUUGUGGGAACGGUCGUUUAAAGUUUCUUUAUGUUUGGAAGCAGCACACAUCGCAAAUUGAACCCAUAGGUGUUUAUCCUGAGUAGAAUUUAUAAGGACACUCUGUAUGCAAUAUAAAUGUAAGGGAUUAUUUUUCUUUGUUUGGCCUACGCAUCAUUUCUUUGCACAAUUACAGAAAGAUACACAAUAGAAGUGAUUUAUAGUCCAUAGAGAGUUUGAACGGGCUUGCGUAAAGUUUCGAGUAGGUCUAACAAAGUAAUUUGAAGAGAAUCUCUUGCCUGUGUCUACGAUACUCUUUCUCUCUCUCUCUCUCUCUCUCUCUCUCUCUCUUUCUCUCUCUCUCUCUCUCUCUCUCUCUCUAUCUUUCUCUCUUUCUACGGUGAACUUUAUUCAUGCUGGAAUUGCGUUGGUUGUACAAAAAUGAAUUAUAACUCAACUAUAGAAUUCAAAAUUAAGUGAAACUUGAAAGAUCGCACGGACUAUGUUUGUAGGAAAAUAAUUAGUGAUGAACGAGUGUAUCCUUUGCUGGGUGGCUCACCUUUCUUCUCAAUGAAUCUUAUCGAAGUACUCGGAUGUGAAACCGCAAAGAUCAGAUAUAUAAGAUAAGAUAAAUAACGUAUCGCGAUUUCCAGAAUACAGCUGUAAUAUGUAAGGUCAGAUUGAACGUCCUAUUCUAUCACGCUUUGUGCAGCUCUCGAGCUACCGACAGUAUUUUAAGUAUUUUACACAACAUCGGCUUGUGAUAAGAUAAUAAUAAUAAUAUUAAU